UUCCUCUGACAUCAGCCAAUCAGUCAUGUUUAGAGUGGGCAUUCCCUGGUGUAAGGUCCGCCCCCCACUGACCAUACAAGGUAACAGUGGAAUGCAUGGCUUGGCAGUCCGUCUGCUUCAUAAGAGAGACACAGAGAGCAGAGGGUGUCCCACACUGAUGAGCAGUCCUAUUACCGUCUGAUUUGAACUUCAGCUUAUUGUGAAAACACUGAAGCUUCAGAAGGGUGCCGGUGGGCAAACCUGCUCCUCAACUCAUCAUUAUUGCAAGAUCAGCCUUUUAGCAGACAGCCAAUUCAUUUCACCCAGGAAAACCAAGUAACCUGCCAGGGGAGAUGACAAGCCUUGAGAAAGCUCAUCAGUCCAGCAGCGAAGCAGUCAAGCAGCCUGCCAGCUGCUGCAGAUGUUCCCAGCAGCACCUCAGCUGCCCUGCAGCAGAGGACUCAAUAAGAACACUGCUGUGUGUAUUCACGCUCCGAGACAGAUGAAGGAGAAGGACAAUCUCGAGGUGUGCAAGAAACAGACCAGGUGUUGCGGUUGAGAUAAUGGAGAUCAAAGAUGGAGCUCCAACAGAUUGCACUUGGGGUAAGAGACAACAACUUCAAGACUCUGCAGAGCGUUUUACAACCCUUUUUAUUCGGGUUUCAGAAAAACACAUUUGAUAUGAAUCUAGAAAAGUUCCCAGACAGGCUUGGUAUCUUUCAGAACAACAUGGUUUCUGCUGAGAUUACAGGAAACUAUUUCCACCACUGCCUCCCUCUUUGAAGUCCAGAGCUUUAGCUUUAGACGUUGACCAUAACUCUGGGCAAUAUAGUUACAGAUAACACAAUAAGGAAAUACAGGGGCUCCACAUGAACUGACAAACUAACAUCAAAUUGAUAACUACAUAAAAUAGGUUGUUUUUCGAUGCAGUCAAGUGCAUUACGUUUACCUCGCUGUAUUGAUGCAAUGUAUGAGUCCUAACUGUGUUAAGUGCAAAAAACACAUUACCUCCAUUACAGAUUCAGUGCUCCUUGUCAGAGACUUUCCGGGUCUCUGGAACUCUACUGCAGGGAAGAAAAAGAAAUGCCAUCAUUUAGUGGUUUUAUGGUGGUGGAGAGUGCUGUCUAACAUAUUAUUUUCAUAAUCAAACCAUUCAUUGAGCCCUUGAGAAACUGAAUGGAAGCAACUGGAUUCAUUAGGUUUCGUCACAAUUUUGUUCAGGGUUUCCUUUAAAUGUCUCUUGUCUUCACGUCUGCAAUUACAAUGAAAUGAAAUAUUUGCUAAUAUUUGGUAUAUCUGUGGGUUAGUAUUUAAAUGAAUCAGUGAAAGCAGUGAAACAAAUCCCUCCACGCCACCAUCAGUAUGAAGAGUGUGUGAAUGAGGUCAAUUGUAAAGUGCUCUGUCUGUUAAGGUAAAAACGUGUGUGUGCGUGUGUGUGUGUGUGUGUGUGUGUGUGUGUGUGUGUGUGUGUGUGUGUGUGUGUGUGUGUGUGUGUGUGUGUGUGUGUGUGUGUGUGUGCGUGCACAUGCAGGUAAUCAGAUGUCUGAUGUUGCAAUGUCUUUCUUUCAACCAAGUAUGUGUGUUGUAUUUCAGAUGUCAGAGAUGAGCAAGUACAGAGGUGAGUAACACAUACACGCACACGCGCACACGCACACACACACACACACACACACACGCACACACACACACGUUCGGAAUGUGAGAGGGAGCAGCAGUAUGACAGGAAGUUGGUAUUAUGUAGGUCUACUGGGGGUUAAAACCAUUUCCUGUUUACCCCUCCCCAACAAAAAUGUUUGUGCUGUGCACUCCAUCCCUCUCUCUCUCUCUCUCUCUCUCUCUCUCACACACACACACGCACACACACUUAUUCACAUGCUAUUUUUCUCUCGCGCUGCUUUCACUGAUGUUUCAGACAUGUGAGUAGAAAGACGUUGUUAAACUGUGUCUUAGCUGUAAUUGAAGACUGAAGUCUUUCUUCAUUUGGUCAUUGUGCAUGCUUUUUUUUUUUUUUUUUAAAGAAACAGAAAUACAACAAACCUGAUUUUACCUAUGCGCUCAUACAAACAUUAUACUGAUGGAGACACAUGCCAGUUCAUACAGUAAGCGAUUACUAAUUAUGUCAUGGGUUCAUAAACCCAAUCCAUUUUCACCAGUAUUGCCAGUAUCUAUUAAUCCGUAGAUUUAGCGAACAAGUCAUUCUCCCCAUACUUUGAACAGCAUUGUGCAUGUUUUAUUCAGCUUUCAUGAAUUCUUUCCACGUUUCCUCCUCUGUCUUUAGAAUAGACCCCUGUCCGCCAUGAUGCUGAGAGAAAUGUGUUUAUUCUGAUGUCAUCAUGUCUCAUCAUCAUGCGGCAAAUAUCACUUGCAUCACUCUGAUGCUAGCUUUAACAGGGAAUGGAGCUCAUUCUGAUUCCUAUCAGCUAGUGUUGGCUCAGUGUGUGUGGUUUCCUUUUGUAUAAUAUUUCUUUGUCAACUGUAAAGAUUGUAAAGUUUGUAUGAUGUAACGUUUAAUCAGAAUAGAAAUCUAUGCAGAAGAUGCAAUAACAGGUUUGGUAAAAACUAAUUUCUCAAUACUGAGUUCAUUUUAUUUAUUUAUUUUUUACAACUCUUCACACAGACAGCACAAAAGAACUUGCAAAAUGCAGCCUCUGACCACGUCUUUUAAUAUUCAUGAGGUUUUCUCACUCAAAGUCAAACACCUCCAAACCUUUAUUUACUGCACAUUUUGCACAUGUUUACAUUCUGUUGUAAAAACUGUUAAAUGUACAAUCCAUUCAAUAAAGAAGUGCCCUUCUUUUUGUUUACAUGGAAACACCGUUUGUGCCAAAUAGAUGCAUAAACAAGAGAUACUUCAAAGACAAUAGCGAUUCGUAUUUUAAUGCUACCAGCUGUUAGUGUUGUUUCAGAUCAUCGUUCGACACUCUGUUACUGUUACGAGUCAAAUGUUGUCAGCGUUCUGGGACAAGAGUUGAUCCUGAGAUGUGUACAAAGUGUUAUGGUUGCAUUAGUGCAUUUUGGAUGUUAGAUUAACUGCAUGUUGGUAAAGAGAACUGUGUGAACUCAUUACAGAGAGAAAUGUGUUAACGUUAGUAAAGAAAAACCACAACCUAUAAGAUGGUUUCUAAACUGACUGACUGUGCUCUGUUUGCCUCAUCCCUGUGUUUUUCUCCAGUUGAGUUAUUCAUCCCUGUGGCCCAUGGUGCAGUGCUGCAUCUCUGGUCAGUUGGUAGUCUGAGAUGAAGCACUGUAGCUCGGGACGGAGGACAGAAAUACCAGUGGGAGCAUAUGUCCACAGCCAGGUAACAGCACCCAGCAGCAGCAGGUCUCCGCGGCUCUGGUUUGCUUCAGACAGGGAGGAUGAUAUGACCCAGGAUGCAUCACUGCAAUCACAAACACCUUGUGGUUCACGGUCAGGAGUUUAGAGGAGACUGGACCAUCCCCCAAAGUUUGCUCAUUUUUGAAGUUUAUAGGGAAGUUGUUUCUGUUAACAUCAAUUUUAUCUAGGGGACAUAAAAAAAAAAAAAGUUUGAAAAUGUCACACCUUUGCUUGAUAAUAAAAUAUUUUGUUAUUGUAUUUCUAACUAAUUUUAUAAAUGACUUAAUGUAAGAAGGUCUCACUCAUUUCUAUUAAGAUCUAGUAUCAAAUGUAACAUUAAAAAUGUGAGAUUAAUGAAGUUGACCACAUGUUGUAAAUUAUUUGACGUGUGUCCACCAAAUUCCAUGAUGGCACCAUCGGCAGAAAAAAAAUAAAAGACGUUUUCAAAUCUUCUAAUACGGGAGGUAUGGAAACCACAGCUCGACUUCUGCACGUGAGGAAUGGGAUCCCUCGUUCCAUUGGUGUGAUGAUGGAUGGAUGACAUCACCCGUUUUUCUUCUCCUCUCUCCUGGGGUCCAGUUUUCCCAGGAAUCCCUUGACCUAUCAGAAAGGGGGAUUCCUGGAAAUACUGUUCUUGGGGGUGGGGCUUAUCAGCUAUUCCAUUUAUAGUAUGUACCAUCAUUCUGUGUGGUGUGUGCAAUAAUGGUGUACGUUUUUAUAGAAUUAGUUUUGACUGUAUUUAGUGUUUAAACACGAGAGAAACCCGUUAUUCACUAUCGUUUCAAUCCCGUUCAAAGUCACGUCAUGUUCCUGUUUAUGACAUUUGAAGAUUCUGAUUACUGCUCAUUCUGUUUAAUAAACAUUCAAAACAAAGAA